GACUGUGUUGCUCUGAGAGGGCUUAUGAGAAAGGCUGGGGCGUGGGAUGCGCCUUGACGUCAUCGGCGUUGCCAAGGACGCGACGCCGUAAACCCGGAAGCGGCGGUGAAGCUUGGAGAGGAAGAGUGGUGUUUCGUUUUGUUAUCGGUGCGUUGGAAGGGUGUGUUUUGCUGAGAGAGAGCGAUCCUCUGGCAAGUCACCGUAGUUUACGGCCGAGGGAAGUCGGGUCACGGUAGAUUCGCCCGAGGCUGCUGGCAGGAGGGAGGUCGGUCGGGCGCCGGAGAACUUCCCUGGACCUGUUGGGGGCGAAGGCCCGAUGGUGUUGGAGCUGUCGGUGGAUGAAGUCUGGGAGUGUCAGAGCACAUGGAUUGUUGAGCUUGGUGGCUGACGAGACAGAAUGGUAGGCGAGGAAGAGGACUCGGGGAUUUCAACAAACUUGUCUUGCCAUAAAAGGACCUGGCAGCAAGUUAAAGUUAAAUACAAGAAAAUUUUUCAGGCGGCAGUUAAAAAACGCCCAUAGAACUGGCACAGGGGGCGGCCCACCAAGCCAGGAUAUGACCCCCCAGCGGAGGAGCUGGCACUCCGUUUAAAUAAAGGGAGGGGGAUCCAGGGAGGGACAGUAACAGACUCUGUACCAGCCACAGAAACUGUCCGUUCAUACAAGGUACAUAUUGCAGUUCUACUGCACAUGGAACACAAUCAAAUUAAUAU
rnacentral:lncRNA from 15 species